rnacentral:miRNA from 1 species
UGAGGCAGGAGAAUUGCUUGAACCCAGGAGGUGGAGGCUGCAGUGAGCUGAGAUCGCGCCACUGCACUCCAGCCUGGGUGACAGAGUGAGACUCCGUCUC